UUCCUGGUGGUCCAGUGGUUAGGAUUCUGCACUUCUACUGCAGCAGGUAUGGGUUCAACCCCUGGUUGAGGAA
rnacentral:tRNA from 1 species